rnacentral:rRNA from 1 species
UACGUAGGGGGCGAAGACGUUAUUCCGGAACGUACACUGGGCGGUAAAGGGUAGGCGUAGGCGGCCUAUCAAGUCAGGGGUGGAAAGGACAUUGGCUCAACCAAAUGUAAGCCUUUGUAAACUAGUUGGGCUUGAGUGCAGGAGAGGUAAGUGGAAUUCCUAGUGUAGGGUGGAAAUUCGUAGAUAUUAGGAGGAACACCAGUGGCGAAGGCGACUUACUGGACUGUAACUGACGCUGAGGCACGAAAGCGUGGGGAGCGAACAGGAUUAGAUACCCCUGUAGU